GACGAACGCUGGCGGCGUGCUUAACACAUGCAAGUCGAACGGAAAGGCCCUGCUCUUGCGGGGUGCUCGAGUGGCGAACGGGUGAGUAACACGUGAGUAACCUGCCCCUGACUGUGGGAUAACUUCUGGAAACUGGGGCUAAUAUCGGAUAGGAGCUCCUGCUGCACGGUGGGGGUUGGAAAGUUUCGGCGGUUGGGGAUGGACUCGCGGCUUAUCGGCUUGUUUGUGGGGUAGGUGCUUACCAAGCCUGUGACGGCUAGCCGGCCUGGGAGGGGGACCGGCGACCUUGGGACUGAGGUACGGCGCAGUAGCCUACGGGAGGCAGCAGGGGGGAACAUUGCGGAAUGGGCGGAAGCCUGAGACAGCAGCGUCGCGUGCGGGAUGCCCGCCUUCGGGUUGUAAACCGCUUUCGCCUGUGACGAAGCGUGAGUGACGGUAAUGGGUAAAAAAGCACCGGCUAACUACGUG
rnacentral:rRNA from 1 species